UUGAUUCCAGGGUCCGAUCUGUCUGCUGC
rnacentral:piRNA from 1 species